rnacentral:rRNA from 2 species
AGGAGCUUGCUCCUUGGGUGGCGAGUGGCGGACGGGUGAGGAAUACAUCGGAAUCUACUUUUUCGUGGGGGAUAACGUAGGGAAACUUACGCUAAUACCGCAUACGACCUACGGGUGAAAGCAGGGGACCUUCGGGCCUUGCGCGAUUGAAUGAGCCGAUGUCGGAUUAGCUAGUUGGCGGGGUAAAGGCCCACCAAGGCGACGAUCCGUAGCUGGUCUGAGAGGAUGAUCAGCCACACUGGAACUGAGACACGGUCCAGACUCCUACGGGAGGCAGCAGUGGGGAAUAUUGGACAAUGGGCGCAAGCCUGAUCCAGCCAUACCGCGUGGGUGAAGAAGGCCUUCGGGUUGUAAAGCCCUUUUGUUGGGAAAGAAAUCCAGCCGGCUAAUACCUGGUUGGGAUGACGGUACCCAAAGAAUAAGCACCGGCUAACUUCGUGCCAGCAGCCGCGGUAAUACGAAGGGUGCAAGCGUUACUCGGAAUUACUGGGCGUAAAGCGUGCGUAGGUGGUUGUUUAAGUCUGUUGUGAAAGCCCUGGGCUCAACCUGGGAACUGCAGUGGAAACUGGACAACUAGAGUGUGGGAGAGGGUAGCGGAAUUCCCGGUGUAGCAGUGAAAUGCGUAGAGAUCGGGAGGAACAUCCAUGGCGAAGGCAGCU